CCACUCCCAGACACAACCCUAGCUCUAACACCCCUUCUCUGCGACUCUGCCGCCCUCACCCAUCGGCCAUCGCCCAUCGCCUCUCUCUGUCUCGCAAACUCUCCGGGCGUCUUCGGCUCUCCGCCUUCUAGUUUCCGGUUCUCCACCAUCGGCAUCUUCAGCCCUCGGCCCUCGGCUUCUCCGGCUCUCUGCCCUCGGUGUUUCCGACUCUCUGCUCUCAUCAUGUCUCUCAGUCUCGCAGCCUCUCCGGUUCCGGUUCUCCGCCCCCAGAGGGCUUUCAUGUUCGAAGCCCCUCUCUCAGCAUAUCUGUGAGGUUGCUGGUUGACCUUUAAUUUUGCUUGGAGGAAGUCUGGUGUUUAACGGUCUUUUGCAACUUGUGUGGAGAAAAUGAUGCUGAAAAGUUGAUUAGCUACUCCGAAGCAUGGACCUGGGAACUGAUGCUGCUGGUUAUGAGGUUAUCAAGAGUUUGGUUUCAAUGUGAAAGUGGGAUUCCACCUCAAGACAUUUAGGGCUUGUUUGGUUAUCAGCGGUUAGAUUUUAGCGGUAGCGGAUUGUGUUAGCAGUUAUCAAAUAGCGGAUUAUAUUAGCGGGUUUGACCAGUGGAUUGUAUUAGCAGUUUGUAAAAAGA